rnacentral:snRNA from 1 species
AUACUCAUUUUGGCAGCACAUUUAGUAAAACUGGAAUGAUACAGAGAAGAUUAGCAUGGCCCCUGCAUAAGGAUGACACAAAGCAUUCCAUAUUUAA